ACAAUGCAUCUUUUUAAUUGUGGUAGUAUCUUUCGCAGAAAUUGCUUGAACGCUAGCUUGGAAUUGGUAAGCUACUCAAACUUUAUUUUUUUAUAUUUUAUAAAUCCUAGAAGAGUUUGAAUAUCCUAGAUAUUCAUUCAUAGUGAAGUAAGUUCUGGAAUUGCAUGACUGGGGUCGGAUGGGUGGUAAUAUUUGUACUGUUAAUUAUAGUUUUGUUUGUUUGUAUUAUUGUGGAUGUUUUAAUAGAUUAAUUGCAUGUUUAAAAUUUUCGGGAACGUCCGAAUUAUAGAUGUUAUGCUGCCGAAAUUUCAGUAGGAUUAAUAUCACUACAAGAAAAAACACUUUUCAUAAGACCAAAAUAGUAAGAUGUUUAUAAAUAAAUAGAUAAUAAAUAGAAUAUAUGAUUGGAUAUAUAAUUAAUGUUAAUAAUUGACUAUAAAAAAGAUAUACAUAAUCAAAAUUUAUAUAUAUUAUACAAUCUAAGUACAUAGUUAUUUUUAAGAAGAUUGUAUUGCUUCAAGCUUUUAAAACUUUUUCUAACCAAAACAUCACUUAAAAAAGCUCGAAAAUGUAAUCUAUAUACAAUUAGUCAAACCAUUCUAUAUCUAUUAUCUACAUCUUUUUGACAAAAUCAUUGUAUUAAUUAGGUUAAGUUGAAAUAGAAUUAUUUUAUUGUAUUAAUUAGGUUAAUUAAAUUGUUUUUUUGUUGUUUUGUUAGAAGUUUCGAAAUGGAUAGAGAUUGGAUGAGUGCGAAUAGGUUAACGGUAAAAUAUAGGGAAGGUGUUGAUUUCUUUUUGGAGUUUUCUGCAAAGAAUGCGGAUAAUCCUGAUUUGGUUCAUUGCCCAUGUCUCAAAUGUGGUAACAUGGAGCGUAUAAAAAUUGACCAAAUAAGAGAACAUUUGUUUAAGAACGGUAUAGACAGGAGUUAUAAGGUUUGGUAUCACCACGGAGAAAAAAUUAGAAGAUCGGGCGAGGGACCCUCUAGAAGGGAUAAGAUUGUUAAUAAUGUGGAGUAUGAAGAGGAUCACAAACUAAUGGAUCGAUUAGUGAGUUGACUGAAUUAACAUGUUUUGUUCUGUAGUGAUCACUGGUUGACAAUUAUGAUUCAUGCCAAUACUCAAAGUGUUGCAUAUCUUGACUCGACGAAUGACUUUAUCCGAACUGAUAUUAUGAAAUGUAUCCAAAAUGCUGUGGACAUGUACAGGAUCGAAAAAAAUAUACGAAACAAGGGUCCAGUAAAAAUCAACCAAUACACGUGUCGACAGCAGCCGGAUGGAGUACAAUGUGGUUAUUAUGUUAUGAAGAUUAUCCAGAGUUUCAUGACGGUUGUUAAUCCUGCAAGUUUUUUGAAAAAUUAUUUCAAGUUAGACGCUCCCUAUAGUAACGAGGAGAUCAAUGCCGUACGAGAUGAGUUGGCCGAAUUUGUGAAGCCUUUGAUUAUAGAUUAAGUACUUAAGGUUACUACACUUUUGAUAUAAUACAUAAGUAACAAGUUUUAUGAUUAUUACUAUCUUUUGCAUAUAUUAUUAGUUUAUAUUUAGUUUACGAUAUACAUGUAAUUUAAGUUUUAGAAUCGAUUUUAUUAACAAUUUUGGUAUUGUGUGAUUAGUUAAUAGAAUCGAUUACUAAUUUAAUAUAAGUUUUAAAAAUGUUAUCUUAAUGUUUUUUGUAUUAUGCAUUUACUAUUAUAUAGAGUUAUUCUAAAAUUUGAUAAUGCAGGUGGGGAAAAUUGCAUGAAAAAUUUGCAAUUUUCCCUUACUUAUAUUUGUGCUUCAUUUUAUAAGUGACGCAAUAGGUAAAAAAAAAAGUAUUUUCGUAAUAGAUAUGACAUUUUUAAACCGACGGAAUAAGUUUUUUGUGACAGUUUUAAAAUGCCAUGAAACAUUUAGCGUCAUUUUUCAACCGACGCUGAAAAUAAAAUAGAAAAGAAAUUAUUUAGCGUCGGUUUAUAAAUGUCGAAAAUUGUUUUUUGCGACGUUUUAAAAAUGAUGCUAAUAAAAACUAUUUGCGACUACGGUAUAUACGUCGGUUUUAUAAACCGACGUAAAUUCUUUAAGUGUCACUUAAAAACAGACGUGAAUAGUGAAUUUUGUAGUAGUGUAUGCCUGAGUUUGUUUUUCAUCCGCAAGUUGUCCAUAGUUUAUUACUGAGGGAAGUUUUCCAGCCCAAUCCUAAAGAGUUUUGGGCUAAGGUUGCUGGCCGUUGUAUACGGUUUAGUGCUGUGGAAUUUUAUUUGAUUUCUGGAAUUGAUUGUUUCGGUGAUUGCAACAAGUUGUUGUUUUCACAGGAAACAAAUCAGUUGGUAGAAAUCUGUUUCCGUGGUGUAAAAACUAUUGACCACAAAGCCAUUGAGGAUGCUCUUUUGGGUAGUCGGUGGGGUUUGGAUGAGUCUUUUGGUUUGAAAAUGGUUGUUUUGUAUUUUAUUCAGUGUUUUCUUCUUAGCAAUACUCCUGAUAAAGAAGUAUCUAGGUUUGAUCUAGAUGUUAUGGAUAGCGGUCGGUGGGACGAGUAUUGUUGGGGUAGGGAAUCCUUUGAAUUGACAAUUGAUUCAUUCAAAGGUAGAAUUCAACAUGGGAUUAUUAUGAAAAAUAGGAAGGCAGAGAAGGGAGGCCAGUAUGAUGGCUGGUAUAGGGCUUUGGGAUGUCCUUGGGUUUUUACGGUUUGGUUUUAUGAAUGCUGUCCUGCUAUGGUGAACUCUUUCUGUAAAAGAGUUUCAUCUUCUAUUCCAAGGAUUUUGAACUGGAGCAACACCAUUGUCACCAAAAAUCCAACUCUUCGAGACUUGAAGGGCAAGAUUUUUGAUUUGCCGUUGGACAAGGUAAUUUACAGUUUCUUUACUGUUUCUUUUCAGUUUUAUUUAUGUUGUUAAUUUUUAGUUUUUUCAAUUGUUUUAAUAUUUUCAUAUUAUGUUUGAUUAUGCUGUUCAGUUGAAGAUCAAAAACAUGUGUCCUACUGAUGAAGAGAGGCAGAAGCUUCAACUUGACGGUUUAUUUCUCGAUGAGUCUAUUGAUGACCGUGGUGUAGCGAAGCAAUCCUUUGAGAGUGGGUCAUCUUCAAAGAAAUCUGAUUCAACGGAUAUUGAUUUGAUGAAAUCUAAGUUGGAGAUGGUCAUUUCGAAUCAAUCAUCAUUGGCUGAAGACUUCAUAUCCUUGAGGUGUUUUGUUGAUCUUAAUUUCAAGUCCGUAAUGACUGUAAUUAAGGAUAUUCAGGAGAAGGUUAAUGCCAUUCAUCGUCGUCCUUCUGAUGAGGUAUUUAUUCAUAUUUUAUUGUUUAGGUUUUUUCAUAUUUUUUUUAGUUUCUUUACUGUUUCAUUUAAGUUUCAUUUAUGUUGUUUGAUGCAGGAAAAGUCAUCUGAUGAAUUAGUAACUCAAGAUUCUGAUGAUGACGGUGAUGAUGAUGAUGAUGAUGAUGCUGAGGAUGAUGAGAAGCAACUGCCUGAUCCAGAAAAUAUUGAUUCUGACUCCGACGAUGGUGGUGAGUUGGUUAAAGUUGGUGGUGAUGCUGAUGAUGCUGACAAGGUUGUUACUGAUG